rnacentral:lncRNA from 1 species
GGUCCCGGGAGCUCAUCAAGGCCAGGGUUGGGGCUGAGGCCCCUGACAGCACCCACGGUGGGGGCUGGUGGAUGCACACAGUGUGGAAAGCCCUGCCACCCUCACCUGUGUCAAGGGACUUGCACAAACAACCUCACUCUGUUUCACGAUUUCUGCAAAAAAGAAAAAAAAAUGAUCCUAUUUAUCAGAUCAUCCUAUUUAUUACAGCACAGCUAAGGCUGUGGAAAAUCCUUUCAUCUCAUUUUCAUCCCCAGGAACAGGAAGGCGGUCCAAAACAGCCAGGAUAAACAUGAUGGGUGAGCUUGCCAGAAGGUCAGCAGAUGCUGUCACAUCCUGCUGAGACAAGGAGCUGGGCACAAAAGAGCAAGGCAGCCAGCCUAGAAGGGCAGCUCGUUCUGUGAGAAGUAUCACCAGGGUGAGCCCUACUCAACAAAGACCUAAUUGUGGAUGAACUGGUCACCCAAAUGGACAUGACUUUCAUCCUCACAGCAGGGAAGGCCCGUCACACCUGUUGGCCUGCAGUUCUUCCUGAGUUCCAGGACUUGUCACUCAGCGUCCCCACUGGAGCUCUUGUGCCAGGAGGUGCAAUUUCCUCCUUCCUGUCAGCUGAGCCAUCACCAGCCAUUCCCCUCCACAGAGUGAAAUAAAUAGAUAAUGGGU